rnacentral:rRNA from 1 species
UACGAAGGGGGCUAGCGUUGUUCGGAAUUACUGGGCGUAAAGCGCGUGUAGGCGGGUCUUUAAGUCAGGGGUGAAAUGCCAAGGCUCAACCUUGGAGCUGCCUUUGAUACUGGAGACCUUGAGUCCGGGAGAGGUGAGUGGAAUUGCGAGUGUAGAGGUGAAAUUCGUAGAUAUUCGCAAGAACACCAGUGGCGAAGGCGGCUCACUGGCCCGGAACUGACGCUGAGACGCGAAAGCGUGGGGAGCAAACAGG